AUGAAUUGCCUAAGCUGGAACUAUCGGGGGACGGCCAACAAACCGACAGUUCAUGAGUCAGUUGGCAUGGUUAAAUCAUCUCAAGCUAAGAUAGUCUUUUUAUUGGAAACUAGGUAGAGUUCUGAAAAAGUGAAGCGCUUGCGUGGUAGAUUAGGUCUAAGAGGUUUCUCUAGUGUUAGUUCUAAUGGCCUUAGUGGAGGUCUAGCUCUUUUUUGGUGUGAUAGUCUGCAUGUAGAAGUUCAGUCAUCUAAUGAAAGAUAUAUUGAUGCGUAUGUGAGGCUUUCUGAUCAUGAUCCUUUGUGGCGGUUCAUGUGUGUCUAUGGCGAACCAUGA
rnacentral:rRNA from 1 species